rnacentral:rRNA from 1 species
GAUGAACGCUGGCGGCGUGCUUAACACAUGCAAGUCGAACGAAGCACUUUAUUUGAUUUCCUUCGGGACUGAUUAUUUUGUGACUGAGUGGCGGACGGGUGAGUAACGCGUGGGUAACCUGCCUUGUACAGGGGGAUAACAGUUGGAAACGGCUGCUAAUACCGCAUAAGCGCACGGCAUCGCAUGAUGCAGUGUGAAAAACUCCGGUGGUAUAAGAUGGACCCGCGUUGGAUUAGCUAGUUGGUGAGGUAACGGCCCACCAAGGCGACGAUCCAUAGCCGACCUGAGAGGGUGACCGGCCACAGUGGGACUGAGACACGGCCCAAACUCCUACGGGAGGCAGCAGUGGGGAAUAUUGCACAAUGGGCGAAAGCCUGAUGCAGCGACGCCGCGUGAGCGAAGAAGUAUUUCGGUAUGUAAAGAUCUAUAAGCAGGGAAGAUAAUGACGGUACCUGACGAAGAAGCACCGGCUAAAUACGUG